rnacentral:rRNA from 1 species
CCUACGGUCGGCAGCAGUGGGGAAUAUUGGGCAAUGGGCGCAAGCCUGACCCAGCAACGCCGCGUGAAGGAAGAAGGCUUUCGGGUUGUAAACUUCUUUUCUCAGGGACGAAGAAAGUGACGGUACCUGACGAAUAAGCCACGGCUAACUACGUGCCAGCAGCCGCGGUAAUACGUAGGGGGCAAGCGUUAUCCGGAUUUAUUGGGUGUAAAGGGCGUGUAGGCGGGAGCGCAAGUCAGAUGUGAAAACUCAGGGCUCAACCCUGAGCCUGCAUUUGAAACUGUGUUUCUUGAGUGCUGGAGAGGCAAUCGGAAUUCCGUGGGUAGCGGUGAAAUGCGUAGAUAUACGGAGGAACACCAGUGGCGAAGGCGGAUUGCUGGACAGUAACUGACGCUGAGGCGCGAAAGCGUGGGGAGCAAACAGGAUUAGAUACCCCAGUAGUC